AUUUAUUCUAUGCCAUUUCUUGGCAUAAUGAUUUAUUCUAUGUCACUUCUCGACAUAAUGAUUUAUUCUAUGCCCCGGCAUAAUGAAGCCUCGAUACUUACUUUUGUUUCCCGGGAACUGACCUCCUGGCUUGUCAGUGUCAGAUCCCAUCGUGUCACUGGUACUACACUGCCUCCAGUCGACGCGACCUUUU
rnacentral:snRNA from 1 species